AUUCCACUGGCCAGAGGCAGUCUUGGGAGGAUUUGUGUUCUGGUUUAUUCAACUCUGGCAAAUGGUCACCGAGCCGGCAGUCAGCUUUCUGGGAGUGGGAGAUGAUGGGGAAAGAGGAAAGAAUCGUCCGCUCGCCGGACCCUGGCUUGGAGAAGUUCUGCGCUCCGCUGGGACUCUGCGGGCCCUUUGCGUCUACAGACCUAUCCCUGCCCCGACUACCCCUUCACUCAGACCCAGAAAGAUCCGCUAUGCCGCCACCCACCACUCCCCUGCGUGACACUUAGGAGUAUGUAAUUAUUAUGGUUAUUAUUUUUGCUGUUUCCUUAUCUCCAAGUCUAAUAUUCAUGGCUGCUGUACCCCAUAAAUCGUUCAGACUAAUGAGUCACAGAGAGAUGCUGCCCAGGUCUCUCACUUUACAAUGGCUGCCGCCGCCGCCGUGGCCUCUCUCUCCGCGUUUUUGGCGCUCGCUUGCUCCCUCGCUCGCCCGGCGCGG
ensembl:lncRNA HOXA-AS2 HOXA cluster antisense RNA 2